rnacentral:rRNA from 1 species
ACAUGCAAGUCGAGGGGCAGCAUCAUUAAAGCUUGCUUUGAUGGAUGGCGACCGGCGCACGGGUGAGUAACACGUAUCCAACCUGCCGACAACACUGGGAUAGCCUUUCGAAAGAAAGAUUAAUACCGGAUGGCAUAGUCCUCCCGCAUGGGAUGACUAUUAAAGAAUUUCGGUUGUCGAUGGGGAUGCGUUCCAUUAGGCAGUUGGCGGGGUAACGGCCCACCAAACCAACGAUGGAUAGGGGUUCUGAGAGGAAGGUCCCCCACAUUGGAACUGAGACACGGUCCAAACUCCUACGGGAGGCAGCAGUGAGGAAUAUUGGUCAAUGGACGAGAGUCUGAACCAGCCAAGUAGCGUGAAGGAUGACUGCCCUAUGGGUUGUAAACUUCUUUUAUACGGGAAUAAAGUGAGCCACGUGUGGCUUUUUGUAUGUACCGUAUGAAUAAGGAUCGGCUAACUCCGUGCCAGCAGCCGCGGUAAUACGGAGGAUCCGAGCGUUAUCCGGAUUUAUUGGGUUUAAAGGGAGCGUAGGCGGGUUGUUAAGUCAGUUGUGAAAGUUUGCGGCUCAACCGUAAAAUUGCAGUUGAUACUGGCGACCUUGAGUGCAACAGAGGUAGGCGGAAUUCGUGGUGUAGCGGUGAAAUGCUUAGAUAUCACGAAGAACUCCGAUUGCGAAGGCAGCUUACUGGAUUGUAACUGACGCUGAUGCUCGAAAGUGUGGGUAUCAAACAGGAUUAGAUACCCUGGUAGUCCACACAGUAAACGAUGAAUACUCGCUGUUGGCGAUAUACGGUCAGCGGCCAAGCGAAAGCAUUAAGUAUUCCACCUGGGGAGUACGCCGGCAACGGUGAAGCUCAAAGGAAUUGACGGGGGCCCGCACAAGCGGAGGAACAUGUGGUUUAAUU